UGUCUCUCAUCUUCCAAGUUCAAACGAGCCUUAGCACAGUCGUGUCCAGUUCGCUGGAGAAAUGGCACUCAAGGAUUUGAUUUAUUGUGGAAUUAAUGUAUUUCAAGUUAUUUGUCGCGUGGUAUUUGUAUUAAGUGAUAUUUUUGAAAAGUGCUUGCUCUCUUCACUUGUAAGUAACAGGAGGAAUGAAUAGUUUGAUUUGUUUUUCAAGGCUUUCUCAGGCUCACCCAAAGGCUUUCACCGCCCCAAAUGGCUUCAUUACCCCAUCAAAGAACUGAGGGUUGAACUUUUCAUAAAGAGCAGUGCCUAUACAUCUUUCACAAAAGAAAAUAAUCAUGUGUAGUAGCCGAAACUUCUAGAGUUCUAAAUCAAUGAUAAAAGAAAGACAAGUUGUGGGAGAAUGCAAAACAAUUCCCUAGUCAUGUGUAUACAUAUGGGGAAAAACUAUACAACAAAAAACCCUGGUGCGAAGUAAUGAUGCGAACUAUAUCCGAAUUAAAUCGGUUAAUUGUUACUCAGUUGUUGAGGGUAACAGAGGAGUGUAGUGAAGGAGAGUAGGUUCUUCAAAUUAAUAUGAAGGAAAAAUCCAAAGAAUAAAGUACAAUAAAGUUUGACCCGUACCAAAAGGCUCCGUUUUUAUCCAUACCAGAGAGGGUUGGCACUUUUAUAAGGAGCAUUAAGUAUAAACUUUUAAAAUUAAAGGCAUCGUGGACAACUGUGGACAUUUUUUAAAUAAAUUGAAGUGUGUAAAGACAAAAUACAAAUUACGGAAAGCAGUUCAAUUGGAUUUGUGAAACUUUUGGAUCCAUAUGACCAGUCCUGCUUCACAUUCACUUUCACCAGGGUCUCUUUCAUGGAUAGCUUCAUUUGGUCUCUUAUCCAGUGGACGCAAUGGCUGGGUGGUGGCAGGCGAGAUGCGAACGCGAAUGGACCCGGGGCCAGCCUCUUCACAGUCUCCACUUCUCUUUCAUGAACAGCUUCAUUUUGUCCCAUAUCCAAAAGACCCAACGGCUGGUUUGGUAGCUGGCCUGAUGCGUACUUGAAUGGACCCGGGGCCAGCCUCUUCACAGUCUCCACAUCUCUUUCAUGAACAGCUUCAUUUGGUCCCAUAUCCAAAAGACCCAACAGCUGGUUGGUAGCUGGCCUGAUGCGUACUUGAAUGGAUUCGGGGCCAGAAUAGACGCAGUGUUCGUAAGCGAGCUAUCAAGGCGAGCAGAGAUAAUACAUCGGAUCCCGGUGGCUCAAACGUUGAUGAAAAAUUCCAGGAGGAGAUAGUAGGAGAGGCCUCGUAGGAAUAGUGGCCCCUUGUUGCUCACUCGUGAGAUCAUGCGCGGCCGCGAUAUCCGUCAUUUGAGCGAUGCCGCACACUUUCGUCGGUAGCUUAUCCAGAAUGAGUCCAUACGAGAAUUCAGAAUGGAUUAUUAUGAUAACGUGUUUCAAAAAUCGAGAUGUUUUCAUGAUGCCUUUGUUGCUUCAUUCGUCUUGGUAUGACUUGGUGUGGCUCAGAUAAUGCAACGUGAAAAAAGAAGACGUGGAAAUUAGUGGAGUAGGGCAAACAGAAGAAGAAGAAGAAGAAAAAUAAAAAUAAAGAGAAGGAGGAGAAGAAGAAAAUACAAAUAAAGGGAAGGAGGAGAAGAAGAAAAAUGUAAAUAAAGAGAAAGAGGAGAAGAAGAAAAAUACAAAUGAAGAGAAGGUGGAGAAGAAGAAAAAUAAAAAUAAAGAGAAGGAGGAGAAGAAGAAGAAGAAGAAGAAGAAGAAGAAGAAGGAGAAGAAGGAGAAGGAGAAGGAUGAUAAAGUAUGAUUCCAAAUAAGUAAUUUAAAAAAAAAUAAAAGUUGAUAGGUAGGUAGAUUAAUACAAAUAAUUGAUUGGUGGAGAAAUAGCGGAGUGCAUGUGUAGUUAGUCCGUCGAGUGAAAGGUCCUGAGCAGUGAUUUUCUGCUUAGAUGUUUAUUUCUUUGUUUCUAUGUUUAGGACAGCAUCUUUAAUUCCAGUUCUUUCUGUUAUUUAUAGCUCUUCUUUUUGUUCUUUUUAUUCAAGUCUUAAUUUUUGCAGUUUUUGUCUAAUUUCUGUCCUUUCUCUCUCUUUCUGCUUUUUUUUUCAUUCUACCAGUAUAGGAGCUUGAAUUCUUUUGAGU